rnacentral:lncRNA from 1 species
AUCCCAGUUAUCAAUAAAGUCUAUUUUCUCCCACCGGAAACUAUUUAACAUCGUUGUGUUCUAAAGAUAUCAUUGCCCACAUCAUUUGUCUUCCCUAGAUCAACCCCGAUCACUAUCAAACACUUUGUGUAGAAUUUAGGUUCUACAAACGAUACAUGUAAUUGGGGAUCAUUCUGGAGAAGGCGGACCCUGAGUCAGUCCAAGAACCCGAGGGAUCCCCAGAGAACCUAUGUCGACCGCUCCGCAUGGUCUCCUCCGAAGCUCUUCAAAGUUCCAUCCGCUUUCAAGACCUGGUCCUCGCAAGACCCUCA